rnacentral:miRNA from 1 species
AAAUUCACUCCUCAAUUUCCGUG